UACGGAGGGUGCGAGCGUUGUUCGGAAUCACUGGGCGUAAAGCGCACGUAGGCGGAUUUUUAAGUCAGGGGUGAAAUCCCGGGGCUCAACCUCGGAACUGCCUUUGAUACUGGAGAUCUUGAGUCCGGAAGAGGUAAGUGGAACUGCGAGUGUAGAGGUGAAAUUCGUAGAUAUUCGCAAGAACACCAGUGGCGAAGGCGGUUUACUGGUCCGGAACUGACGCUGAGGUGCGAAAGCGUGGGGAGCAAACAGG
rnacentral:rRNA from 1 species